ACGGGUGAGUAAUGUCUGGGGAUCUGCCCGAUAGAGGGGGAUAACCACUGGAAACGGUGGCUAAUACCGCAUAACGUCGCAAGACCAAAGAGGGGGACCUUAGGGCCUCUCACUAUCGGAUGAACCCAGAUGGGAUUAGCUAGUAGGCGGGGUAACGGCCCACCUAGGCGACGAUCCCUAGCUGGUCUGAGAGGAUGACCAGCCACACUGGAACUGAGACACGGUCCAGACUCCUACGGAGGCAGCAGUGGGGAAUAUUGCACAAUGGGCGCAAGCCUGAUGCAGCCAUGCCGCGUGUAUGAAGAAGGCCUUCGGGUUGUAAAGUACUUUCAGCGGGGAGGAAGGCGAUGUGGUUAAUAACCGCGUCGAUUGACGUUACCCGCAGAAGAAGCACCGGCUAACUCCGUGCCAGCAGCCGCGGUAAUACGGAGGGUGCAAGCGUUAAUCGGAAUUACUGGGCGUAAAGCGCACGCAGGCGGUCUGUUAAGUCAGAUGUGAAAUCCCCGGGCUUAACCUGGGAACUGCAUUUGAAACUGGCAGGCUUGAGUCUCGUAGAGGGGGGUAGAAUUCCAGGU
rnacentral:rRNA from 1 species